rnacentral:rRNA from 1 species
UACGUAGGGUGCGAGCGUUAAUCGGAAUUACUGGGCGUAAAGCGUGCGUAGGUGGACAGGAAAGUCAGUGGUGAAAUCUUCGAGCUUAACUCGGAAACUGCCAUUGAUGCUAUUUGUCUUGAAUACUUUGGAGGUAAGCGGAAUAUGUCAUGUAGCGGUGAAAUGCUUAGAUAUGACAUAGAACACCAAUUGCGAAGGCAGCUUACUACACAGUUAUUGACACUGAGGCACGAAAGCGUGGGUAGCAAACAGG